CAGCAGCCGCGGUAAUACGAAGGUCCCGAGCGUUGUUCGGAAUCACUGGGCGUAAAGGGAGCGUAGGCGGCGUGGUAAGCCAGAUGUGAAAUCCCGGGGCUCAACCCCGGAACUGCAUCCGAUACUGCCAUGCUAGAGGAUUGGAGAGGUAGCUGGAAUUCUUGGUGUAGCAGUGAAAUGCGUGGAGAUCAAGAGGAACACUCGUGGCGAAAGCGAGCUACUGGACAAUAACUGACGCUGAGGCUCGAAGGCCAGGGUAGCGAAAGGGAUUAGAUACCCCCGUAGUCCCUGUCUCUUAUAC
rnacentral:rRNA from 1 species